rnacentral:pre_miRNA from 1 species
UUUUUAGUAUAAGUAUGUCCCAUGUAAUAUUUGAGAUAUACUUAAUACUAAAA